rnacentral:rRNA from 1 species
AAUGGGGGGAACCCUGACCGAGCAACGCCGCGUGAGUGAAGAAGGUUUUCGGAUCGUAAAGCUCUGUUGUUAAGGAAGAACGAGUGUGAGAAUGGAAAGUUCAUACUGUGACGGUACUUAACCAGAAAGGGACGGCUAACUACGUGCCAGCAGCCGCGGUAAUACGUAGGUCCCGAGCGUUGUCCGGAUUUAUUGGGCGUAAAGCGAGCGCAGGCGGUUAGAAAAGUCUGAAGUGAAAGGCAGUGGCUCAACCAUUGUAGGCUUUGGAAACUGUUUAACUUGAGUGCAGAAGGGGAGAGUGGAAUUCCAUGUGUAGCGGUGAAAUGCGUAGAUAUAUGGAGGAACACCGGUGGCGAAAGCGGCUCUCUGGUCUGUAACUGACGCUGAGGCUCGAAAGCGUGGGGAGCGAACAGGAUUAGAUACCCUGGUAGUCCACGCCGUAAACGAUGAGUGCUAGGUGUUAGGUCCUUUCCGGGACUUAGUGCCGCAGCUAACGCAUUAAGCACUCCGCCUGGGGAGUACGACCGCAAGGUUGAAACUCAAAGGAAUUGACGGGGGCCCGCACAAGCGGUGGAGCAUGUGGUUUAAUUCGAAGCAACGCGAAGAACCUUACCAGGUCUUGACAUCCCGAUGCUAUUUCUAGAGAUAGGAAGUUUCUUCGGAACAUCGGUGACAGGUGGUGCAUGG